GACGAACGCUGGCGGCGUGCCUAAUACAUGCAAGUUGAGCGAUGAAGAUUGGUGCUUGCACCAAUUUGAAGAGCAGCGAACGGGUGAGUAACGCGUGGGGAAUCUGCCUUUGAGCGGGGGACAACAUUUGGAAACGAAUGCUAAUACCGCAUAACAACUUUAAACAUAAGUUUUAAGUUUGAAAGAUGCAAUUGCAUCACUCAAAGAUGAUCCCGCGUUGUAUUAGCUAGUUGGUGAGGUAAAGGCUCACCAAGGCGAUGAUACAUAGCCGACCUGAGAGGGUGAUCGGCCACAUUGGGACUGAGACACGGCCCAAACUCCUACGGGAGGCAGCAGUAGGGAAUCUUCGGCAAUGGACGAAAGGCUGACCGAGCAACGCCGCGUGAGUGAAGAAGGUUUUCGGAUCGUAAAAAUCUGUUGGUAGAGAAGAACGUUGGUGAGAGUGGAAAGCUCAUCAAGUGACGGUAACUACCCAGAAAGGGACGGCUAACUACGUG
rnacentral:rRNA from 1 species